rnacentral:lncRNA from 1 species
CUCCAGAGAGCCCAGGGCUGAUUUUUGGGAUACAGCAUCUCCAGAGCAGAGCCUGCAGUGGGUGCUGCAGAGGACUGGCCGUGGUUCUCAGCACUGUUUUCCCUCAUAGAUGAGAACAGUAUCUGAAAGCAGAUACAAAAUCACUUAAAAAUAACCUUAAAUACUGUGUUGACAUGCAGUUACCUUACAGCCAACACUCAGUUCCCAGCACAAACCCUUCCUCACAGGGCUGAGAACAUUUUAGAGAUGUUUCCCUUUGAUGGGGAAGGAAAUGCUGGGGGAAGAUGAAAUCAGAAAAAAAAGCCAGGCUGGGGCAGGGCUUAGUGUCCCACUUUUUGUUGUAUUCCAGGAAAAAUUGUCCUCAUCCAGGUGUUCUCCAACACCAGUUUUCCUCUGUCACUUCCUGAGGGAGCCUUGGGAACCUGGGCUCAGUGGCUGACCUGUGUUCAGGGGAAGAGAUCUCAUGGCAGGGAGGGUUUUUCCACAAGCGUUUGGCAUUGCUUUUCCUGGCGGUGCUGUGACAGCCUUUGGGAUCAGAUUGUGGAUUUCCUGCCCCACCUGCUGCUCUCAAGGCACUCAAUAAGGAUUUAUUAUCCCAGCAAAGCCCUGGGAGGAUCUGCAGAACACGGAGUGUCAUCCACAAGCCCCCCACCUCCUCCCAACACUGCUCCUGCACGAGUGCCCGGAUGGAUUCAAACUCCAGCAAAUUUAGAUUUUAAAAGAUGACAUCACAUCCACUCCUGAACAUGUCUCACGGUGUUUUUACAGACAUGAUGUAACAGACAAUUUUCUCAUAUCUCUCUAUCACUGACUCAGUUUUUGAAUAAAAGCUCUAAUUUUAACCUGCA